GGCCUGGCUGGCCGGUCCGCCUCACCGCGUGUACUGGUCUGGCCGGGCCUUUCCUUCUGGAGAACCUCAUGCCCUUCAGUGGGUGUGUUGGGGAACCAGGACUUUUACUUUGAAAAAAUUAGAGUGCUCAAAGCAGGCAUUUUGCUUGAAUAUAUUAGCAUGGAAUAAUGGAAUAGGACG
rnacentral:rRNA from 1 species